GAUAUCAUUUCCUGGUUUUCUUGUCAUAUGACAACAAGCAUGUUGCUUUUACCCCACUAGCCCCUGCUGGUAGACGCUGUAACUACACAAUCUGCUUCUGAAAAGCAGCUUGAUUGACGGCCAUUCAAAAGCAGCAUAUUCUUAUGAAAUAAUUUUAACAUAUAAAGUGCUAAUAUAUCAUUAUAUUAUAGUAGAUGUUACCAGUGCCUGAUUCUUUUUAGAGGCUUUUAAAAAUGCAGAAUGGACUUGUACUUUUCCACGACUGCUGCCGUUGACGUCACAGCUUCAGCAUAGUCACUGAAGGCCGUGGGACUGUGUGUGUUGUUGUGGUGCCAUCAGCCAAUCAACGAUGUCAUGAUGUCAUUUGCGUGCAGUUCGACAGUGACAUGAUUGACAAUUUGAGAUAAAUAAGAAUGCUAAUGGAUAUAACUCUCUCCAGAGAAAGAGGACCAACACAAUGCCGCCUCUUACAUGAACAACCUAUGCACAGCUCUUCACACUUUUAUAUUCACUCAACACCCUUAUGGACUGUGCUGCUCUAAUGUAAAGAAGUUUCCAAGGAACAACUGUGGCCUGGAUGUUGAUCAGUAGAGCUGUUUCAACGCAUCCCAAAACAACGCUGUCUACCUAAGAUGGGAUGAAUGGAUGAGCAAGAUCGGUCUAUAGGAAUAGAUCCAAAGAGGCUUGGAUGAGCUUUGCAGGGAGGUGAUGGAACUAGACUGGUUUAAAUCCCGGGAUCAGCCAUUCAGUGACUCCGACUUUCUACAAAUUUGCUUCUGCUUUAGGUCACAGUGCCUGAUUAGAGUGCCCUCUGCUCCAGCACCAAUGCAUUUAACAUUAGACUAAACGUUAUUAUGUUUUAGCAGUGACCAGAACAACAGAAAGUAAUUUUUAUGCUGGAAAAUAGGAAUUUAUUGCCAUAACAAGAUUUCAGUCAAAUUAAACAUACUGAAUAAAGAGUCAAAAUAUAUCAUUAUAUUGCUGUUUUGAAUAAAGUUUGCUAAAUGCUUUUCUUUAUGCAUUAUAUGAGUCCAAGUGUGUAACUUUAUUUCUGUUUUGAAUAUUAAGUUUGAUAGAUGAUCUAUUAUUAUUUAUUGUGGCUAAAAAUAUAAAAGUUUGAUAAGUUUGUAACUUUGAUGUAUCAUAAAUGACCCAUUAUUAAUUAUUGUUGCUAAAAAACAAGUUAAAUUUAUGUUAAAUUAACAUUUAAAUUUACGUAUUGUGCACAAUACUACUGUUUGCUGUAAUUGUACUGACUACAGAGUUGAUGAUGAAAUGCAAAAUACAACGUCAUAUUUUCA